rnacentral:rRNA from 1 species
UAAGCGCAAGUCAUCAGCUUGCGUUGAUUACGUCCCUGCCCCUUUGUACCCACCGCCCGUCGCUACUACCGAUUGAAUGGCUUAGUGAGGCUUCCGGGAUUGGUUUAGAGAAGGGGGCAACUCCAUCUUGGAACCGAGAAGCUAGUCAAACUUGUGUCAUUUAAGGAAGUAAAAGUCGUAACAAGGUUUCCGUAGGUGAACCUGCGGAAGGAUCAUUA